rnacentral:rRNA from 1 species
UGGGGAAUUUUGGACAAUGGGCGAAAGCCUGAUCCAGCAAUGCCGCGUGUGUGAAGAAGGCCUUCGGGUUGUAAAGCACUUUUGUCCGGAAAGAAAUCCUUGGCUCUAAUACAGUCGGGGGAUGACGGUACCGGAAGAAUAAGCACCGGCUAACUACGUGCCAGCAGCCGCGGUAAUACGUAGGGUGCAAGCGUUAAUCGGAAUUACUGGGCGUAAAGCGUGCGCAGGCGGUUUGCUAAGACCGAUGUGAAAUCCCCGGGCUCAACCUGGGAACUGCAUUGGUGACUGGCAGGCUAGAGUAUGGCAGAGGGGGGUAGAAUUCCACGUGUAGCAGUGAAAAUGCGUAGAGAUGUGGAGGAAUACCGAUGGCGAAGGCAGCCCCCUGGGCAAUACUGACGCUCAUGCACGAAAAGCGUGGGGAGCAAACAGGAUUAGAUACCCUGGUAGUCCACGCCCUAAAACGAUGUCAACUAGUUGUUGGGGAUUCAUUUCCUUAGUAACGUAGCUAACGCGUGAAGUUGACCGCCUGGGGAGUACGGUCGCAAGAUUAAAAACUCAAAGGAAUUGACGGGGUCAUAGCUGUUUCCU